rnacentral:rRNA from 1 species
UCAGUCCUACGGGAGGCAGCAGUGAGGAAUAUUGGUCAAUGGGCGGGAGCCUGAACCAGCCAAGUCGCGUGAGGGAAGACGGUCCUAUGGAUUGUAAACCUCUUUAGGCGGGGAGCAAUGCCGGGCACGUGUGCCCGGAGGGAGAGUACCCGCAGAAUAAGCAUCGGCUAACUCCGUGCCAGCAGCCGCGGUAAUACGGAGGAGGCGAGCGUUAUCAGGAUUUAUUGGGUUUAAAGGGUGCGUAGGCGGGUUUUUAAGU